rnacentral:rRNA from 1 species
AUGUAUUUGCUGUCUGAGCCUAUAUCCUUUGUUUGUGUGCUACAGUACAUAUCAUUUACCAAAGUUAUUAGCUCAUGGCAUUUGAACCAUCUUAUCUAUUUAGGUUGGCAUCAUCACUGGAAGAUGUUUCUACAUGAUGUUUCUUCUCUUCGUAUUAACAUCUUAAAAGCAUUACAAAUUCGUAACUCUUCUGCUGGAGACAUGUGGCCAUCUUCGAAUAAUGCAGUUUCGUGUGAGUUUGGUAUUCAGAUGAAUAUGUUAAUUCCAUCAAAGAAACAGCUUGAGCAGAACUGUACAAAAGAGUAA